rnacentral:rRNA from 1 species
UACGUAGGGUGCGAGCGUUAAUCGGAAUUACUGGGCGUAAAGCGUGCGCAGGCGGUUUUGUAAGCCAGAUGUGAAAUCCCCGGGCUUAACCUGGGAAUGGCAUUUGGGACUGCAAGGCUCGAGUGCGGCAGAGGAGACUGGAAUUCCUGGUGUAGCAGUGAAAUGCGUAGAUAUCAGGAGGAAUACCGAUGGCGAAGGCAGGUCUCUGGGCUGACACUGACGCUCAUGCACGAAAGCGUGGGGAGCAAACAGG